GCCCGCCUAGCUCAAUCGGAUAGAGCGUCAGACUCUUACCUAGGCAUUGUAUGGCGAUCUGAAGGCUGCGAGUUCGACCCUCGCGGUGGGCU
rfam:Jaapia argillacea MTCL 33604 unplaced genomic scaffold JAAARscaffold_19, whole genome shotgun sequence.